rnacentral:misc_RNA from 1 species
AAAAAAGAGCAUCCUUAAUUUCAGUCAUUUGAAAAUCAGCUGAAAGCAUAGCAAUAUCAUCCAGAGAAAGUGUCGAGAAAGCACUUGAGGGAACUCUAGUCAAAUCACCAUUAGCAUCCUCAGAAUAGAGCUUAUAAAGAACUGAAGAGCCAUGUGCAUAAUCUGAUCUGGAUCUGUAAUCCACUGCCCAUUCUCAUCUUGCAAUCUAGCAACCCGCUUCUUAUUUCCUUUAAUCACAACAUUAGCAUGGAAAAAAGCAGUGUUUCGCUCUCCUUCAGUGAUCCGUUUCUCUCUAGAUUUUUGGAACCAUAACAUUUCCUCCUGAUCCAACAACUGUUCUAAUUCAUUCCUUAAUUUUCGAUACAAACUAAUGAGACCUUGAUGCAUAUCUGAGCAAAGUUUCUCUUGAAUACAUAUAAGCCUUGCCAGUAAUCUUCUUUUUCUUUGGUAGAUAUUACCAAACACAAUUUGAUUCUAAUGCUACAAAGUGGUACCCAAACUUCGUAAAGCAUCAAUGAAAUUAGCACCAUGGAUCCAAUUUCUCUUCACAAACUCAAAGAAGGCAGGAUGUUGAAACCAUGCUGCUUGGAAUCUAAAAGAUUGAGGAUGUCUAGAAAUGUCCCUGAGAUCCAGCAGCAACAAUAAAGGACAAUGAUCAGAGAAAGCCCUCUCAAGAUGCAACACAGAAGCAUAAGGAAACAGAAACGUCCAGUCUCUAUUACAAAACAUACGAUCUAAUCUCGCAGCAUGACAAAUUUCUGUACUACGACCCCUCCACCAAGUAAAUUUGGAUCCUGUAAACCCAGAUCAACCAAGCCCAAUUGGUUGAUCCAACUACGAAAUUUGUUGCAUUUGGCUGCCACGUGAGCCCCCACACUCGUACUCUCACUCAAUUCAGCAUAAGGAUUAAAAUCCCCUACCAAAAGCCAAGGACCCAAUGAGAGAGCAGUAAUACAAGUAAGAGCAAAAAACAAAAUAGGUCUCAGAUGUUCACGAGGACUAGCAUAGACCGUCGAAAAGAACCAUUUAAAACAACUAACAUUUUCAACUAAACAAUGAAUAAAUUGUGAAUGUGAAUAAAUCACUGAGACAGAAACCACAUCAGUAUUCCAAAAGAUCCAAAUGCCACCACUCAAACCAGUUGCUUCAACUCGCACCCAAUUACCAAAACCCAGAGAAAGAGAAAUUACAUCAGCUCUAGGACCACUAAUCUUCGUCUCUAUCAACACCAAAAUCAUUGACUUAUGAUGCCUACAAAGAUCCUUAAGAGCACGCAAACUAUGACGUCCUGCUGCCCCUUGAAUAUUCCAAGUCACAAUCGUCAUAAAAUAACAAAACAACACACCACCAUAAAUAAACAACUUGCAACAAAAGCAGCAAAAACCAGGUGCUUAAGUUAAGUGA